CUUUGUGUGGCGGCUUGUUCUGAGAGUAACUGAAGGAGAACGAGGUGCAGCGCAAAGGA
rnacentral:pre_miRNA from 1 species